CAGCUGGGGGGGUGAACUGGGGUCAUAACCCCACACCCAUGAAACAACUCACGGGAAAAAGAGACAUUUUAACAGCACAGUCGAAACUGUGGAGAAAGGAGCGCUGCCCCUGUCUUCUCACCGUCUCCUAUUGUGGAUCGGGGAGGAGGCGUGACCAUAAUUACUGCAGGCAAUUAGCGAGCAUAGGCUAUGUCCAAAUGCAGUGGAGUCUGGAUGCUGAGGAGGUGAGCCACUAACUGACUGGUAUCACGGAUAAACAAGGAGAAGACAAAAGACAUCUUUCCUUGAAACACCACAAAUAUCCCCCUCCUGCAUAAACGAUGCCCUCCGGGACCACCACCACAGCCUGGACAGUAACAAGAACUGCUGUGAUUCAUAGUUAUGAGUUACAACACUCUCAUGGAUAUUGCUCAAAAGAGUGGGAAUAACUGAAAACAAUAUUUAAAUCCAAAAGAAGUGUUGAGUUUUUGUUUAAUGUUGUGGUCUGCAGUGGUGUUCUGAAUAAAAUAAGUAAGAAACCAAGUUUUUUCUUUUUAUGUUAAAUCUUUGUUUUGUUUUAAUUUGACUGAUUUCAUUUCAUUUCAUUUUUGUGUUGUAUUGGCAAACAUUAGAGUGAAUAAAUGUCUUUACUGAGUGAAAUCUACAGCUGGGUACAACUGUGAAGUGUAAAAGUUGGGAGACUAUGAAAAAUAACAUUUUAACUUUGUUACAUGCAUGUCCUCUACGAUUUUAUAUCUUAAGUGGAACACUUGUUUUGUUGUGUGGUUUCUUUUUUGUUGGGCAACAUGGUGGUGUGGUGGUUACCACCAUUGUGUCACAGCAAGAAGGUCCUGGUUGAAAUCCGCUGGCCACCUGGGACCUCCCAGUGUGGAACUUGUAUGUCCUCACUGUGUCUGCAUAGGUUA